rnacentral:rRNA from 1 species
UGAUGGCGUACUUUUUGUAGAACGGUCCGGCGAGUUACUAAUGCCAGCGAGGUUAAGUGGUCAGAAGCCACGGAGCCGAAGGGAAACCAAGUCUGAAUAGGGCGUAAAGUUAGUAUUAGUAGACCCGAAACCGGGUGACCUAUCCAUGUCCAGGUUGAAGGAGCCGUAAAAGGCUUUGGAGGACCGAACACACAUCUGUUGAAAAAGGUGGUGAUGAGGUGUGGAUAGCGGAGAAAUUCCAAUCGAACUCGGAGAUAGCUGGUUCUCCUCGAAAUAGCUUUAGGGCUAGCCUCGAGAUGGAGUCUAACGGAGGUAAAGCACUGAACUGACGCGGGGCCCAAAAAGGUUACCAACUCAUAUCAAACUAAGAAUGCCGUCAAGAUACCCUCGGGAGUCAGUCUGCGUGAGAUAAGUCGCGUGGACAAAAGGGAAAGAGCCCAGACCGACAGCUAAGGUCCCAAAGUACGUGUUAAGUGGAAAAGGAUGUGGGAUUUCAUAGACAACUAGGAUGUUGGCUUAGAAGCAGCCAUACAUUUAAAGAGUGCGUAACAGCUCACUAGUCGAGAAAACCUGCGCCGAAAAUUUAACGGGGCUAAAACACGACACCGAAGCUACGGAUUUCCUACUAGGUAGGAAGUGGUAGAGGAGCAUCCUGCAAGGACGAAGCCAAAGUGAGAACGAUGGUGGACGAAACAGGAGAGAGAAUGCCGGAAUGAGUAGCGAGAUAGAAGUAAGAAACUUCUAGGCCGAAUAUCUAAGGUUUCCUGGGUAAAGCUAAUCUUCCCAGGGUUAGUCGGGGCCUAAGGCGAGGACGAAAGUCGUAGUCGAUGGAUAACAGGUUGAUAUUCCUGUACUACGUAUCAUCAGAACUGUGGGGACGCAGGAGGAUAGGAAAACCGGGGAAUGGAAAAACCCGGCCAAGUACAAAGUCAAGGGAGAUAGGCAAAUCCGUCUCUUGAUGAUGAAGUGCGAUGGGGACUGAACAAAAGUAGGGAAGUUUCCGAAUCCACACUGUCGAGAAAAGCCGCUAUUGUGUGAUACGUACCCGUACCGUAAACCGACACAGGUAGAUGAGGAGAAAAUCCACAGGCCGACGGGAGAAGUGUUGUUAAGGAACUCGGCAAAAUGACCCCGUAACUUAGGGAGAAGGGGAGCCACGCAAGUGGCCGCAGAAAAGAGGCUCAAGCGACUGUUUAGCAAAAACACAGGUCUCUGCGAAACCGAAAGGUGAAGUAUAGGGGCUGACACCUGCCCGGUGCUGGAAGGUUAAAAGGAGAGGUUCGACGUAAGUCAAAGCUUUGAAUUCAAGCCCCAGUAAACGGCGGCCGUAACUAUAACGGUCCUAAGGUAGCGAAAUUCCUUGUCAGGUAAGUUCUGACCCGCACGAAAGGUGUAACGAUUUGAGCACUGUCUCGACAACACGCCCGGUGAAAUUGAAGAACCAGUGAAGAUACUGGUUACCCGCAACAGGACGGAAAGACCCCAUGGAGCUUUACUGCAGCCUGAUACUGGGAUUCGAUGAUAUAUGUACAGGAUAGGAGGGAGACUAGGAAUCCGGGACGCCAGUUUCGGAGGAGUCGACGGUGGGAUACCUCUCUUAUGUUAUUGGAUUUCUAACUUGGCACCGUGAUCCGGUGUGAGGACAAUGUCAGGCGGGCAGUUUGACUGGGGCGGUCGCCUCCUAAAAGGUAACGGAGGCGCUCGAAGGUCACCUCAGAAUGAUGGAAACCAUUCAAGA